CAGUCGAGCGAUGGAGCACCUUCGGGUGUGAAUUAGCGGCGAACGGGUGAGGAACACGUGAAGAAUCUGCCUUCAACUCUGGGAUAACUCCGGGAAACCGGGGCUAAUACCGGAUAUGAGCCUUGAUCGCAUGAUCGGGGCUGGAAAGUUUUUCGGUUGAAGAUGACUUCGCGGCCUAUCAGCUUGUUGGUGAGGUAAUGGCUCACCAAGGCGACGACGGGUAGCCGGCCUGAGAGGGCGACCGGCCACACUGGGACUGAGACACGGCCCAGACUCCUACGGGAGGCAGCAGUGGGGAAUAUUGGGCAAUGGAGGAAACUCUGACCCAGCGACGCCGCGUGAGGGAUGAAGGCCUUCGGGUUGUAAACCUCUUUCAGUAGGGAAGAAGCGAAAGUGACGGUACCUACAGAAGAAGCACCGGCUAACUAUGUGCCAGCAGCCGCGGUAAUACAUAGGGUGCAAGCGUUGUCCGGAAUUAUUGGGCGUAAAGAGCUCGUAGGUGGUUCGAUACGUCGGAUGUGAAAAUCAGGGGCUCAACCCCUGACCUGCAUCCGAUACGGUCGAGCUAGAGUUUGGUAGGGGAGACUGGAAUUCCUGGUGUAGCGGUGGAAUGCGCAGAUAUCAGGAGGAACACCGAUGGCGAAGGCAGGUCUCUGGGCCAAUACUGACA
rnacentral:rRNA from 1 species